UGAUCCCUUCCCGAACUCAGAAGUGAAACCUCUUAGCGCUGAUGGUAGUGUGGAGUUAUCCAUGUGAGAGUAAGUCAUCGCCAGCU
rnacentral:rRNA from 1 species